rnacentral:rRNA from 1 species
UCGACGCGAGCACUUGUGCUCGAGUGGCGAACGGGUGAGUAAUACAUAAGUAACCUGCCCUAGACAGGGGGAUAACUAUUGGAAACGAUAGCUAAGACCGCAUAGGUACGGACACUGCAUGGUGACCGUAUUAAAAGUGCCUCAAAGCACUGGUAGAGGAUGGACUUAUGGCGCAUUAGCUGGUUGGCGGGGUAACGGCCCACCAAGGCGACGAUGCGUAGCCGACCUGAGAGGGUGACCGGCCACACUGGGACUGAGACACGGCCCAGACUCCUACGGGAGGCAGCAGUAGGGAAUUUUCGGCAAUGGGGGAAACCCUGACCGAGCAACGCCGCGUGAAGGAAGAAGGUUUUCGGAUUGUAAACUUCUGUUAUAAAGGAAGAACGGCGGCUACAGGAAAUGGUAGCCGAGUGACGGUACUUUAUUAGAAAGCCACGGCUAACUACGUGCCAGCAGCCGCGGUAAUACGUAGGUGGCAAGCGUUAUCCGGAAUUAUUGGGCGUAAAGAGGGAGCAGGCGGCAGCAAGGGUCUGUGGUGAAAGCCUGAAGCUUAACUUCAGUAAGCCAUAGAAACCAGGCAGCUAGAGUGCAGGAGAGGAUCGUGGAAUUCCAUGUGUAGCGGUGA